GACGAACGCUGGCGGCGUGCCUAAUAUAUGCAAGUUGAGCGAUGAAGAUUGGUGCUUGCACCAAUUUGAAGAGCAGCGCACGGGUGAGUAACGCGUGGGGAAUCUGCCUUUGAGCGGGGGACAACAUUUGGAAACGAAUGCUAAUACCGCAUAACAACUUUAAACAUAAGUUUUAAGUUUGAAAGAUGCAAUUGCAUCACUCAAAGAUGAUCCCGCGUUGUAUUAGCUAGUUGGUGAGGUAAAGGCUCACCAAGGCGAUGAUACAUAGCCGACCUGAGAGGGUGAUCGGCCACAUUGGGACUGAGACACGGCCCAAACUCCUACGGGAGGCAGCAGUAGGGAAUCUUCGGCAAUGGACGAAAGUCUGGCCGAGCAACGCCGCGUGAGUGAAGAAGGUUUUCGGAUCGUAAAACUCUGUUGGUAGAGAAGAACGUUGGUGAGAGUGGAAAGCUCAUCAAGUGACGGUAACUACCCAGAAAGGGACGGCUAACUACGU
rnacentral:rRNA from 1 species